rnacentral:rRNA from 1 species
ACGGCCGCGGUAUCCUAACCGUGCGAAGGUAGCGUAAUCACUUGUUCUUUAAAUGAGGACUAGUAUGAAUGGCCCCACGAGGGCUGCACUGUCUCCUUUUUCUAAUCAAUGAAACUAAUCUCCCCGUGAAGAAGCGGGGAUAAUUCUAUAAGACGAGAAGACCCUAUGGAGCUUUAAACAACUGAAACACUUGCUUUUUCCAUUAACCUCUUCCGAGUUCUUUACUUCACUCAAGCAUUUUUAUUUCUAGUUUUAGGUUGGGGUGACCACGGAGCAAAACUAAACCUCCACGAAGAAAUGAAUACUUUUUAAGCCACAAACUACUUUUUUAAGCAUCAACAAAUUGACCUUCAUUGACCCAAUAUAUUGAUCAACGAACCAAGUUACCCUAGGGAUAACAGCGCAAUCUACUUCAAGAGCUCGUAUCGACAAGUAGGUUUACGACCUCGAUGUUGGAUCAGGGUAUCCUAGUGG